AUUCCUUAUUUGUGAAAAUCUCAUCGUUCCAUUUUCUUUGCUCAAUCGUUGAAUCCACUUCUCUUGGUGUGCAUGGCGUGGCUAGGAGCGCAAGGUCGUAAUAGGCAUGGAAGUAGUAGAUUAGGUUACAAUGAAGGGUGUGCACAGUAAUGCAGUUCUUGUGGCCUCUUCCAAACCACAAAAGAUCGAAAAAAACAAGAAGGUUUCUAAAGUGAAACCAACUAGAGGAGUGACAAAAACAAAAGGGAUAGUUACAUACAAGGGAAAAUGUUUCUGUUGCUAUAAAGAAGGACAUUGGAAAAGAAAUUGUAUAUAUUACUUGAAGUCUUUGAAGGUUAAAGGUAAUGGAAAUCCUUUCGAAGGUAUGCCUUUAAUACUCAUGUGUGAAACUAGUUUUUCAAUUGGUCAAAAUACUACUUCUUGGAUAUUAGACUCAGGAGCAACUUCUAGUUGCAUGAUUUGAGAAAAAAAGUAGGGAGCUAACUGAAAAUGAGAUUGCUCUAAAGAUGUAAAAUGGAGUCAAAGUUACUGCAUUGGUUGUUGGAGUUUUAUCUAUUUAGUUACUGCCAAAUCAUAAUUUAAUUUUAAAAGACUCUUUAUGUGUUCCUAGUAUUUUUAGAAAUGUUAUUUCCAUUACAAUA